CUCACUUGUUUUCCACUGAUGAAAUAGAGAGACCCGAGGACGGGGCGCCAAGCUCUUAAACCACUUGAAAGGAAAUACAAGGAUGAGAGGACUCCGGACAUUUGGAAGUCAACGUUUUCCAUUAAGACUCUGGUGUAAAAAGUGUUGAAUGUAGGCAUGUGGCAGCUAUAAGAAGUAUUUAUCCGCGGACACAUGAAUUGAUGGAGAAAAAACAUGUUAACAGCCAUUGCACUAAAAGAUGCAUUUCCAAUGCAACUCUACUUUUCAUAUAUACUAAAUUACUUACCAAAAUUGUUGAUUUGUGUUUGUUAUUGUGUGCCACCAUUGAAUAUAAAGGUAAUUCAAACCAGAAGAAAAACGGUGAAACUCUUGGGGAUUAUUAAUGGAAAUAAAAAAAACUUAGAGGUUUCAAUUUAUAUAAGUAUUUUCCGUUGCUGCGCGUUAUGACAGGGUCUUUACGCAUAAAAAUACGUAAUAUUGGGAUAAAAUUCUGUGGCAGAAACAGAACAGAAAUACAUUUGCAACAGAAAAAGAGUCCCCCCCAUCCUCCCCCUCCACCCCCAAUUUUCAGCGGCUUAGCCUUCAGUAAGAAGGGCUGUAAGGCCUAACUUGAGAUCUGAGAAAUGAGUGAUGAACUAAGGCAGGUGAAGUGAGGGCAGAGAGAAGAGUUAGGAGUGCUGCGGUUAGAAAAUGAGAAGGAGAGCAUGGAGCUUGGGGAGAAAAAAAAUUCACUGUAGUUGGAAAGUGAGAAUGGAUACGGAGGAACGAUGACACUCAAGACUGGACACACAGGCGUUGGGCAGGAUCAUCAAACUGUAAAAGGUUCUCCAUACGAAGGUGGAAAGAACUUGUUUUGUGUAAGAAUUCUUUAAGGAGACCACAAGUUGAAGGACAUCACAAUCCAUAUCAACACAUCACCAAAAUCAAGCUGCAAAGCUUCGUCAAAAACAAGCCUUAAAGGAGUAUCCCAAAAACGGCCUGCGGCCCGAAGGACGAGGUGGCCGAGUGGUUAAGGCGAUGGACUGCUAAUCCAUUGUGCUCUGCACGCGUGGGUUCGAAUCCCACCUUCGUCGACUCUUUUCUUUAAGAGGGUAACCAGGUUUCUGUCGCAGGUCUGAGUUGUUCUCAGAAACGUUAUAUACAUUAUCUACAGCUUUCCUCCUUUUGCUUCCUCUUAUUUCUCUCGACCAUCUAUCAGUUUUAUUUCCUCCUGAGGUUCCACAGAAUUCCUGCGGAUCUGAGUGGAAUUACUCUCCAUUCUUAGAUUACAGUUUACUACAUCCAGCACGCACCUGAAGGGCUCUCAGCCAAGAUGUCCGCAUGGUGCAACCGAUCCCUUGCUCCACUCACAUAGUGCUUCAUGUUGCAAAGCCAAAGAACCAAAGGCAUUGGUCAGACCCUGACUACCCUCUCCUCCGAACAAUUAACAGAAGUUUGUGUGUCACCUUCCUCUCUGUUUACAUAUGAACGAGUAAUCUGUACCUUUGCUUAUUGUCAAAGUAAAGUGCUUUGGAAUCUCCA